rnacentral:rRNA from 1 species
GACGAACGCUGGCGGCAGGCUUAACACAUGCAAGUCGAACGGAUCCUUCGGGAUUAGUGGCGCACGGGUGAGUAACGCGUGGGAAUGUACCCCUUGGUAAGGAAUAAUAUCUGGAAACGGAUACUAAUACCUUAUAAUGACUUUGGUCCAAAGAUUUAUCGCCAAGGGAUCAGCCCGCGUCUGAUUAGGUAGUUGGUGAGGUAACGGCUACCCAAGCCGACGAUAAGUAGCUGGUCUGAGAGGAUGUUCAGCUACACAGGGACUGAGACACGGCCCAGACUCCUACGGGAGGCAGCAGUGAUGAAUAUUGGACAAUGGGGGAAUCCCUGAUCCAGCCAUGCCGCGUGAGUGAAGAAGGCCUUAGGGUUGUAAAGCUCUUUCAAUGGUGAAGAUAAUGACGGUAGCCAUAGAAGAAGCCCCGGCUAAAUUCGUGCCAGCCGCCGCCGUAA